rnacentral:rRNA from 1 species
AGAUCAUCACUGGGUUUAAAGCGUGCGCAGGCGGUUUUGUAAGACAGAGGUGAAAUCCCCGGGCUCAACCUGGGAACUGCCUUUGUGACUGCAAGGCUGGAGUGCGGCAGAGGGGGAUGGAAUUCCGCGUGUAGCAGUGAAAUGCGUAGAUAUGCGGAGGAACACCGAUGGCGAAGGCAAUCCCCUGGGCCUGCACUGACGCUCAUGCACGAAAGCGUGGGGAGCAAACA